rnacentral:sRNA from 1 species
AAGCGCUCUACCACUGAGCUAAAUCCCCAACCCCGAGAGGAAUCUUAACAUCUACUUCCAUAUUCUCUCGGCUGCCUCCUCCCUUGCACCAGUCUCUCAAGGUUUUCCGGCACCUAUCCUUCCUUCUCGUCCAAUGACAGGCCUUGUUCUGUCUUGUACCUGCCUUCACCUGCAUAAUACAUCAUCUUACAGGCACACUGUCAGAAACUGCACAGCAAGGAGGGCAAAAGUAAUCUUGGGGAAUGUGCCUAGUUAGUAUGAGUGCAGUGUAGGGACCGGAACUAGUAACUGUCCAACUACUAGGGAGUUAUUGGCUCCUUUGUCUCCCAAGUUGCUAGACACCCCAGCUGGUACCUCCUCCCUUCUGGUAUCUUUUAGUGUGACGUUUAGGUAACUGGAGGAAAGGCCAGAGACAAGACCAACAAACAAGUCUGUUUUGCCACUCACACAGAGUCCCAGGCAGGGUGAGAUUCAGUAAGUGGACUGCAGAAGAUUCCAGCCUCUUUUAAGAAAUGUGUGCCAAGUCUUCCCUACAUCCAAUAUCUUCAUCCUUGAGAACCUGAACAAACACCUGAGGAAAAGUCAAUCCAAGGAAACCUGACUAAGUGUAUACACAGAAACAGGACAAGGACAGUUAAACCUAGGAAGAGCUAGCACCUCGUGAAGGCAGUAGAGAUCUCUGUUCUAGAUACUCUCUCUUCCUCAAACUCCAGAGCAGAUUUUGAUGUCCUCUCGGUACUUAGGUAAGUGCUGCCCCCUGCUGAAGGAGGUUAUCAAAAUAAGGAAUACAUGGGUUGAAUUUCAGAUAAGGCUGUUUCAUUUAUAGUCCAUUCAGGACAAAGUGGAGGUGCUUUAUGUAUUGAAGAUCUAAGGAUUCUGUAGCCUCUCUGUUAAUAUGCCACUGGACCCUCACUUCCCGCGAGAAGGGGAGGGGCUUCAGAAUGUGGCCUUGCUACCCCCUAAUCCCCACCUUGGCUUGGGACAAACUUGACAAGAUCUUGUUCACUCAUUGGACUAAACUGGACUGGCCUGUGGCCAGAGUGCCUUCUGAUUGGCCCACCACUCAGGCCUUCAGUAGCCAACUGAUUCCUUCCAUGGCAACUAGAACAAGGUUUACCUGUGGCCCUUCCCAACGGGAGUAUUUAACAUUUUCCUAGGCAUUUCAUGCUCAAACUAGAGAAGAAAGACUGCGUUCUGGAGUGAAUCAGGAUCCCAAUGGUAAAAAACACUUUGCUUUAUAGGAUGGUUCAGGUUUGCACUGGAAUUGUGAAUAUAAUCUAUCUUUCUUUGUCUCUGUCUCUGUCUCUGUCUCUGUCUCUGUCUCUGUCUCUGUCUCUGUCUCUGUCUCUGUCUCUGUCUCUCUCUCUCUCUCUCUCUCUCUCCUUUCUUUCAAUAGGGUCCCAUAUAGUUCAGGGUAUCCUUGAACUCCUGAUUUUGCUGUCUCCAUUUCCCAGUUGCUGGGAUUGUCUAGCCCAGUUUCACUUUCUGAGCCUCUAAAGAACAAACCCGGAUCCCCAUUCAGGUCUUUUUUUCUGUCUUUCCAGCUGAACCCUUUGAUUCCCCGUGACAUUUCCAGCAUACCAGAAAGCUCAGGUGUUCUACCAACAUCAAUACCCAAACAUUUAAAAAGGUUUUAAGCCAACAUAUUGUAUGCAUUUGUGGGCCACUGUCUUAGGGUUUCUAUUGCUGUGAUAAAACAACAUGACCAAAA